UUACGAGUGGGCAGGGCGUGUCAUCCCUCCGCCCGUGGGCCCUCCCCUGGAACAGAGCAGCGGCUGCUGAGGCCUCCUGUCAGAACAGGCUCACACCAUUGAUUCCCACCGUGGAGGAACAGGCAGAGGCAAACAUUUCAUUCCUGAGUUGCAAAAUCACUCAUUCAUAAUUAAAGAUAAUAAAACCACUACACAUUAGGUGCCACCAGAGCGGCGAUCUGUCAACCUCCAUCCUGGAGAAGACUUGGACCACAUCCAUUUGCUGCCAUUAUUCCUCAUCUUAAAACCCUGAUUCGUGACUGGGGCGUGGGACACUUGACUUUUCUCCCUGCUUGAAUGGACUGAACGGAUCUUCACGCCGAGCACACGGUCUAACCGGUGGAGCGGACGGCGGUGGAGAAUUCACGGCAUGUGCUGGCGUGAUCAUGCAAGAAGAUGUCACCGAGACAGAGAACAACAUGAAGUGAGAUGUCAGCGGAGGAGGAGGUAAAACACUCCCAUCAACUCCUGCCGCGGAGCUGUGACUCACCCUGAGAGCGUGUGUGUUGGUGAGAUGUGAGCCAAAUGAAAACGCUCAGCCCGCGCCUCUAAUGUCAUUCAGCACACAUUCAAAGGUCGGUCCGCCACUCUCCGGAAGAUUCCCCGGCCCUGCAGCCUACAGGUGGAGGCAUGAGUACAGCUCUGAACGGAUUUGCCCCUGUGGAGGAGAGUGACGGCCGUGACCACUGCUGUCACUGCAGGAGAGCUUGUUGUCCUCCUCCUGUGCUGCUGCCUGUCUCACUGUGUGAUGACAUGUAGCUGCAGGACGCUCAGAAUCUAGGAAAACCUAGGGUCAGAUGUUAGCAAGACGAAAUGACCUCAAAUUGAUUUAGAAUUUCAUUAACAUUCGUACUGAAAGUAAAAAACUGGCCAGGACAACAGGAAGCUGAAAGAACAGAGUAUGUCAACAGAAUGCUAACAUUAGCCGAACACAAGGAAGAAUUAGCCAGACAUAAUUAUAGCAGCUAUAGCUCACUGUGUUUUCAGUUUUUUUUCACACAUUUUCUCCCAGUGAUAAUAAACCACUGCUGCUGUGAGGUUAUCUGAACUGAACUCCAACUGAACUUGUUUUUUUUUUUUAUCAGUACGUGAAUCUAACGUUGACCCUUUGACUGAAACAGAAAGCACAUUAAAAAUCCCCCUCACUCCUAGCAUCAACCAGAGGAAGUGUAAGUGCACGCACACAGACAUAUUCACGCAGACGACAGUGGAUUUCCUGGUGACUGCACAGGUCGAUGUCAGAGCGUUCACACGAACUGUAAUUAACAUAACUGAAAGAGCAAUAAAACACAUAGUGUACAUACAGUACCUUUACAUAUGUGCAAUAUUUGUUUUACUUUACACCGCUGUGACAUGACAUUAACUCCAUUACAGGACCAACAAAGUCGUUCUUUAAUCACAUCAUGAAACCUAUAGCUAUUAUUUACACAUAAAUAUAAUUAUUUGGCCAAAUCCUUACCACUGCGUUGGCGUAUAUUCUGUAUAAACGCAAUCCUGGGUAACAAGUGACCUAAAUAUUGAAUUUAUAGAAGCUUAAACGUUACACAAUGGAGUGACGUAGAAAAUUAAAGGUCUGCACUGACCUCUAGUGGAGAUAAAGAAAAAGUGACUACAAGUCUAUCGAACGCGUAUCUUUGUAACUGAAAAAAGUAGUUCUUAUUUUAAACUUUGACAACGGUCCACACUGGGUUUCCUGUAUUUACGUUUGUUUUCUGUUUAUUUAUUUGUGUUGGUCAAUAUGUUCAACAGUACUGCAAUAGUCCUAUUGACUGUGUAAUAUUCCUGUAAACGUCGUUGCAAUAUUCGACUUUUUCUCUGAAGUAUUUCAGAACGACAGGUGUUUUCUUACGUACGUACACGAUGCCAUCGUGUGGCCAAAUGGACACAGUGCAGCACUCGUUCGCCAUUCAAUCAAACAUCCCUAUAUUCGAAGGCUAUAAAAAGCACAAUUAAGAUUUGUUACACAGAGAAAAAACAAAACAAAACAAACAAACAAACAAACAAAAACAG